rnacentral:rRNA from 1 species
UCCGCACGAGAGCACCCUUGUCGUUAAUUGCCAUCAUUUGGUUGGGCACUUUAACGAGACUGCCGGUGACAAACCGGAGGAAGGUGGGGAUGACAUCUAGUCCUCAUGGCCCUUAUGGGUAGGCCUUCACACGUCAUAUAAUGGUCGGUACACAGGGUUGCCAAGCCGCGAGGUGGAGCCAAUCCCACAAAGCCGAUCGUAGUCCGGAUUGUAGGCUGCAACUCGCCUGCAUGAAAUCGGAAUCUCUAGUAAUCGCGGAUCACCAUGUCGCGGUGAAUACGUUCCCGGGUCUUGUACACACCGCCCGUG